rnacentral:lncRNA from 1 species
UACAACUACUGUGAGUGUCAACCAAACAAAAGAUUGCUGCUGUUUUAUUUUUCAUUAAACUCCACGAGGCUGCUUCUCUACAAUAUUCCAGUCCCUAAUGGAUAAUUAAAUAUGAGUCUUGGCAUUAUGAGAAAUCACUGUAAUCAAAUCAGUUCCCACAUAAGAGCAUUUUCACCUAAGACAACUCGGCUUUCUUGCCAUUUUUAAGUAUAUUGCCAUUUCAGAGCUCUCUAGAGUAGAAACUUAUAUUAACUCAAUGAUGAAAAGAGGUAAGCUGAUAUUUCGAGUGUCAACCAUUUCCUUGUUUAGUGGUAGUCAGUAAAAAUAGAUAUGUGCUGAAAAUAUUUAUAUUGACAAAAUGCUGGAAAAACGAGCAGGUACGGGGUAACGUUCACGAAAUGAAAGAAGCAAGUGUGUUAGAAUAUGUGUGCUGAGUGAAAAAACCCCAAAACAUAACGUGAUCGAAGAGUUUCACAUGCACCAUACUGAGGUUUAUUCAUAAGCCAAGCUGUUGCUUGUCAUUUGGCCAGGGCCACUUAGAGCUGCUGGGAAAGAAAUGAUCCAUGUCUCCAUCUGAAUAGAGGACCACAUGUUGUCAACUCAAUACUUUGCUACUGAAAUCGCAGACAAAGACUUCCCUGUAAGGCAAGAAAGCUUGACCUUCAACAAAUCACAACUCUUUCACCGCACUGUAAACAGCUCCGUCUGUCUGCCCUCGUGGCUGUCUGCUCUCACGUCUGUCUACAAGAAGCUAUUCUCAGCCAGUCCCCAUCCCAGUUAUCACAGGGUGAGACGCCAUGGACAUCUGACCGGUGUGUUGCAAUUUAGGAUCACCACUUACUCUGACAUGUGUGUAUUAUGACUGAUGGAAGAAGUUGGAGCACCUGGAGAAACUCUUUUCUUUUACCAAACCUUACCAAAGUGUUCUGUUACAGAGCCAUGUUGUGGUAAUGUAUGCAGAGUCUAGCUUGGUAUAGUGAUUAUUACCUGGGGACCUGUAGUAAAUUUUAAUAGUUGUGUAAGCUCUCGGGAUCUAAUCACAUCUUAGUCUUUCCAGUUUGUAAACUGAAAAUUAAUUUUAUUUAUUUGGCAGUAAUAUAGAUGACUAAUAUAGGUGAGCACUUACUCUAGGCAACAAAGUAGAGGGGAAUACUUUGGAAGUGUAAAGU